ACUGACUUUAUCAGCAUUACACGUGUGUGUCUCUGUCACACAAGCAUCAAUAGGUGGCAGAGAGGAAAGAGACUAUGUCUAUGCUUAAUAAGCUAACAUUCCCUGAACAAAAGCAAGCCUUAGACA
ensembl:snoRNA small nucleolar RNA SNORA17